rnacentral:rRNA from 1 species
GCACGGGUGAGUAACACGUGACUAACCUACCCUUGAGUGGGGGAUAACCUAGGGAAACCUGGGCUAAUACCGCAUAAUACCUUCGGGUCAAAGGAGCAAUUCGCUUAAGGAGGGGGUCGCGGCCGAUUAGUUAGUUGGCGGGGUAAUGGCCCACCAAGACUGUGAUCGGUAUCCGGCCUGAGAGGGCGCACGGACACACUGGAACUGAAACACGGUCCAGACUCCUACGGGAGGCAGCAGUGGGGAAUUUUGCGCAAUGGGGGAAACCCUGACGCAGCAACGCCGCGUGGAGGAUGAAGUCCCUUGGGACGUAAACUCCUUUCGAUCGGGACGAUUAUGACGGUACCGGAAGAAGAAGCCCCGGCUAACUUCGUGCCAGCAGCCGCGGUAAUACGAGGGGGGCGAGCGUUGUUCGGAAUUAUGGGGCGUAAAGGGUGCGUAGGCGGUUUGUAAGUCUUAUGUGAAAUCUAUGGGCUCAAUCAUAGUCUGCAUGAGAAACUGACGGGCUUGAGUAUGGGAGAGGUGAGUGGAAUUUCCGGUGUAGCGGUGAAAUGCGUAGAUAUCGGAAGGAACACUGUGGCGA